GAUGAAGAACGCAGCGAAAUGCGAUACGUAAUGUGAAUUGCAGAAUUCAGUGAAUCAUCGAAUCUUUGAACGCAUAUUGCGCUCUCUGGUAUUCCGGAGAGCAUGCUUGUUUGAGUAUCAGUAAACACCUCAACUCCCCUUUCUUUUUUUGAAAUGGGAGCUGGACUUGAGUGAUCCCAACGCUUUUCUCACCGAAAAGUGGCGGGUUACUUGAAAUGCAGGUGCAGCUGGACUUUUCUCUGAGCUAAAAGCAUAUCUAUUUAGUCUGCCUAAAAAACAGAUUAUUACCUUUGCUGCAGCUAACAUAAAGGAGAUUAGUUCUUGUGCUGACUGAUGCAGGAUUCACAGAGACAGCUUCGGCUGGCCUUUGUAAACUCGAUCUCAAAUCAAGUAAGACUACCCGCUGAACUUAAGAAUAUCAAUAAGCGGAGGA
rnacentral:misc_RNA from 1 species